rnacentral:miRNA from 1 species
UGUGAAGUGUGCAUGUGCAUGUAUGUCUGUGUACAUACAUACAUACAUACACACAUAAUACAAAACCAAAAACCAAACCCACUG